rnacentral:rRNA from 1 species
GAAAUGCGAUAAGUAAUGUGAAUUGCAGAAUUCAGUGAAUCAUCGAAUCUUUGAACGCACCUUGCGCUCCUUGGUAUUCCGAGGAGCAUGCCUGUUUGAGUGUCAUGAAAUUCUCAAACCUCUUAUUAUUUAUUUAAUGAGAGGAUUUGGAUGUGGAAGCUUUGCGGGCCUCUAACGAGGUCGGCUCUUCUUAAAUGCAUUAGCGAGGACCUUAUCUUUAUUUAUAUGGCCUUGGUGUGAUAAUUAUCUACGCCAAUUGGCUUUUAAGAUGUGGGUUUGGCUCUCUAAUAGUCUUCUUCAUGAGGACAAAUCUCUGACACCUUUGACCUCAAAUCAGGUAGGACUACCCGCUGAACUUAA